CGCGCAGGUGGCUUAUCAAGUCUGGUGUGAAAGCCCAGGGCUCAACCCUGGAACUGCAUUGGAAACUGAUAAGCUUGAGUUCAAGAGGGGUUGGUGGAAUUCCUGGUGUAGGGGUGAAAUCCGUAGAGAUCAGGAGGAACACCGGUGGCGAAGGCGACCAACUGGAUUGAUACUGACACUGAGGCGCGAAAGUGUGGGGAGCGAACA
rnacentral:rRNA from 1 species